rnacentral:rRNA from 1 species
UACGUAGGCAGCAAGCGUUGUUCGGAGUUACUGGGCGUAAAGGGUGCGUAGGCGGUUGUUUAAGUUUGGUGUGAAAUCUCCCGGCUCAACUGGGAGGGUGCGCCGAAUACUGAAUGACUAGAGUGCGGGAGAGGAUAGUGGAAUUCCUGGUGUAGCGGUGAAAUGCGUAGAUAUCAGGAGGAACACCGGUGGUGUAGACGGCUAUCUGGACCGUAACUGACGCUGAGACGCGAAAGCGUGGGGAGCGAACAGG